GAACAUGUUGCUGCAUGUCUUGUUUAGCCGAGAGCAGAAUGUCAGGCUGUGUGAUCCAACACUUGAUGGCUUCCUAAAAGAAGGCUGGAACCAGUGUCCAGCAGCAUCUGAACAUCACCACCCAAAGCUGUCAGCCCUACCUUCUUGCUGAGGGAGCAACAAGAAUCACACCUACUUCCUUGUGACUGACAGGAGCCACAGUAGACGCAACAUUUCAAUGCAUGACCAUCCAUCCAUUUCCUACCGCUUGUCCCUUUUGGGGUUGGAGCCUUUCUCAGCUGCAUGACCAUUAUGUGGGUCAGUGGUUCUCAAAUGGGGGUACGCGUACCCCUGGGGGUACUUGAAGGUAUGCCAAGGGGUACGUGAGAUUUUUUUUUAAAUGUCUGUCAAAAAGAAAUGCAAUAUUCAGUGUUGACAGCUAGAUUUUUUUGUGGACAUGUUCCAUAAAUAUUGAUGUUAAAGAUUUCUUUUUUUGUGAAGAAAUGUUUACAAUUAAGUUCAUGAAUCCAGAUGGAUCUCUAUUACAAUCCCCAAAGAGGGCACUUUAAGUUGAUGAUUACUUCUAUGUGUAGAAAUCUUUAUUUAUAAUUGAAUCACUUGUUUAUUUUUCAACAAGUUUUUUGUUAUUU